UCAUCUAGCGCCCACGGUCACCUGCGAGCAGCGUCCGUCACGGUGGGUCGCCGCUGUUCGGGGCGGGGUGGGUUUUCGCGGUUCCCCUUGUAGGACGGUCGGCGUCCCAGAUCCGGAGCGCGCAUCCGCGCGGGUCGAUACCGAAUAUACAUCCAGGUCUCCCCGGUGUUCCUGCUGCCGCCUCUCUCCACACUGCGGGCUCACUUCGGCCCCAGCGCACGGGCGGCGUCGUCCCGGUGCCCCGUCUCUGUCCACACUGCGGGCUCACUUCGGGCCCCGCUCGCGGGCCUUGUUCUCGUGCUCCGUCUCUCAGGCCGCACAGACUGAGCGCCUGCUGUGCCAACAUGGGUUUCCCAGAAAGCCAAACACCGAGAUGACAAGAUUGCAGCAGAGAGAAGGUUUAAUCACAAGGCAACCAAGUGAGGAAACAGGAGAACACGUCUCAAAUCCACCCCUCAAAAAUGGGGACUCAGGGAUAUUUAUGGGGUAGGGGAUAAGCUGGUCUGAAGUGUGGAGAUGGAUGAUUGGAGCAUUAUUCACAACAGCCAAGAAGUGAAAGCAACUGAAGUGCACAUUGAACGAUGAUUGGAUAAAGAAGAUGUGGUAUACAUAUACAAUGGAAUACUACUCAGCCAUAAAAAAGGCAAAAUCAUCCCAUUCACAACAACAUGGAUGGACCUGGAGGGUAUUAUGUUAAGCAAAAUAA